rnacentral:tRNA from 1 species
GGUCUCAUGGUGUAACGGUUAGCACUCUGGACUCUGAAUCCAGCAGUACGAGUUCAAAUCUCGUUGAGACCU